rnacentral:rRNA from 1 species
AUACGGAGGGUGCAAGCGUUAAUCGGAAUUACUGGGCGUAAAGCGUUCGUAGGCGGUUUGUUAAGUUAGAUGUGAAAGCCCCGGGCUCAACCUGGGAACUGCAUUUAAAACUGGCAAACUCGAGUUUAGGAGAGGGAAGUGGAAUUUCAGGUGUAGCAGUGAAAUGCGUAGAGAUCUGAAGGAACACCAGUGGCGAAGGCGACUUCCUGGACUAAAACUGACGCUGAGGAACGAAAGCGUGGGUAGCAAACGGGAUUAGAAACCCCUGUAGUCC